UCCGCCUCAGCCUUCCAAGUAGCUGGAACAACAGAUCUCCACCUUCCUUUUAAUGUGGCUCAGCAAACGGAAAGCGACAACUGCUAUGUGCACCCCAUGCUUCCCAGUGUGACUUCUCAGCAACUCUGCUUUUGCAAUUAGUUUUCACCUCCUCAAAGAAGACGGCCUCUCUGCCCACAGGAGACAGCCCGCAUCACACAACAUUUCACUCAGCUGUGUGGCUGAGCACUGACAAACUCAAUUUACAAAAGGCAAGAGUGAGUUGACACCAUGCUGUGGCAGUUGUCCUGAUGGGAGGAAACGACUCAUUUCAUUCCAAGAAUCAGUUGGAAUUUGAUGCAUCUGAAAAGGAAUUCUGAGACCUGGUUCUCAGAAUGAAUGUCCCUGAUCAGAUGAGACCUUUCAGAGAACUGGAUGCCUCCAUACCUGAUGUGAUUGUCAAUCCAUCCCCAGCAGUGUUCUAGUUACUCCUUAAAGGAAGAAGUGAUAACCAGGUGGGGCGAUACUCCAAGGCGAAAAGAAGACAAGAGCAGACUUCUGCAAACUGCAAAAUAGGACCUGUACAAUGGAGAAAAUUGUUUAAAACAAGAGAAAGAAAGGAAGAACUAACUACAAUCUUCUUAGAGAUAAGCACGAUAAGCGUGUGGAUUGCCUGCUGCACAGCAUUACAUAGAUAAUGAAAUAUAUGUAUAAUAUAUGAUAAAUAUAUAUAAUAAAACACAUAUGUAUUUAAAGCAAAUGUAUUACAUCUUAAAAAACAUUUCAUUAACUGACCUUUUUGGAAUAUUAUAUUAUGAACAACUUUCUAUGUUUUUGACCAUUCUUCACUUUCAUCUUAGCUAUACAGUGUCCUACUGUUCGAAUGUAUCAUAAUUUAUUUAACUACUUCCUUGUUAUUGUAUUUUAUUUCCAGAUAUUUCCUGCUAUAAAUGAUGCUGUGGUGAUUAUUCUUGUGUGUAAACCUUUUCUGUACUCCUCUGAUUUUUUUCUUUAGGAUAAAAACAUCAUUGCUAAAUCAAAGGGUAUGUUUCCUUGAAACUUUUAAGUUGAGGUAUACUGAUUUACAAUCAAGUGAAUAAAUCUUGUGUACAGCUAGUUGAAUUCGACAUACAUAACUGUAUAACUACCAACCGGAUGAAUGUAUUAAACAUUUGCAGUACCCCAGAAUGCUCUUCAUGCUCCUUCCCAGUCAAUAUCUAACCCAGGUUCUUAAACGUCAUACACAUGAAAUCAUUGAGUGUGUGUUCUUUUGUUUGUGGCUUCUUUCUUUCAGCAAAGUGUGAGUUCCAUCCAUGCGGUGAUGUAUAACCAUAGUUAUUCUUUUAAUUGCUGCAUAGUAUCCUAUUUUAAAAUAUGCUACAUUUUAUUGAUUCAUUUUAUUUUGAUGGAAACGUAAGCUACUAUGAAUAAAAUUGCUGUGAUUAUUCUUGUA